UACUGUUCAGGCACGAGCUCAAA
rnacentral:piRNA from 1 species